rnacentral:rRNA from 1 species
UAUGCCUACGGGGGGCAGCAGUGAGGAAUAUUGGUCAAUGGGCGGGAGCCUGAACCAGCCAAGUCGCGUGAGGGAUGACGGCCCUAUGGGUUGUAAACCUCUUUUGCCGGGGAGCAAAGUGCCGCACGUGUGCGGUUUGGAGAGUACCCGGAGAAAAAGCAUCGGCUAACUCCGUGCCAGCAGCCGCGGUAAUACGGAGGAUGCGAGCGUUAUCCGGAUUUAUUGGGUUUAAAGGGUGCGCAGGCGGCACGGCAAGCCGGCGGUCAAAUCGC